UAUACAAAAAAUACCUAAAAAUGUUGGGAGAAUACCAAAUAUUGGAUGAAUAAAAUAAAAAGGUGAAAGUCAUCGAUGAUAAAUUCAGAGGUGGUUGUUCACUCUCUACUUUGAUAGAGAGAGAAAAAUCUCUCAACCUCUCCCCUCUCCCUUUUCUCCUUAAGAUUUCAGAUCCUUUUUCUUGCCGUUAAUUGGCCUCCCCUGCCCCUCUGAGUAGAGCAAGUCUUCUCCUAGUCCAAUUCUAUGAGGUUGCUUAGUGUGCUAGUACCGACUUUGGCAUCAUCUCUUCUAGGAGGUUCAAGGGGAGCUAAGGAUGGUAUCUUGGGGGUAUCUCCGCUGUCCAAGUGAAGGCAUUGGUCCCUUAAAAGUCUAUAUGAGAGUAAGAAGUCAAGAACUGUAUGCUUGCCUCUUUGGAUUUUGACUCCAUAUUUUACGAGCUUUCUUGAAUGCUUGUGAUGAGUUUAUAGAUGCUGGUUUUCUACUAAAUGUUGGUGUUUUGUCUAGAUAAGUUUGUACUUUUUUUAUUAUUUUUGGCUUUGCAUGUCUCUCUUUUCUCCAUAUAUGCUCUAUAGUGGUCCUCCAGACAAGUAAUACUUGGUUCUCUAGUUUUUAUAGAUCAUUGUGUGGGGCAAUACUAUGCUUGCUUGAAUUGGAUCUCAA